CGUUUUCGGGGCAGGGUGUAAUUCCCGACCGGCGGUAAAGUCCGCGAACUGCCAAGGGCGGUUGAUUUGGUGAAAUUCCAAAACCGACAGUAAAGUCUGGAUGAGAGAAGACG
rnacentral:ncRNA from 1 species